GCGCUCAGCCGCCGUUGCUGCCGCGUGCCUCGGGAGCGGUUUGCGGCCGUUACGUUGCCAUGGCGACGGCGGGGCGCUCCGCCGCUCCUCCCCACGGUGCGGGGCGCGCAGGAGGAGGAAAAUGGCGGCCGCGGGGGGUUCCUCCCUCCGGGCCCCGAGACCCGCCUCGGACCCGCCGGGUUGCUGCUGUGGAGAUGGGGCCCUCAGUGCCAUGAGUUAGUGGUGGACGUGGCAGCGCUGGGGUAAUUGUUGGACUUGAUGAUCUUAAAGGUCUUUUCCAGCCUGACUCCAUUUCCUCAAAAAAAGCUGUGGAAUUUCCUUGCUGCACCCAACCUCCCAGGCUACUCUAGCAGCAGCUUCUCAUCGUUAUUUCUCCACUUAAAUCAGCCAACUCAAGAGAUCAAAGAACAGCAGUUUCACCGCUUUGCGAAGAGUUACGCUCUCCUCCUGCUUGACUGUCGCGGAUUCCACCACCAGGAGGCCCUCAUUAAAGUGCUUGUAGCUAGGCGAAGAAAACACAAGGACGGAGAAACGAGAUGGAGAAACCCAUUCCCAUAGAAGUAAUCUGAAACGAAUACUUAUCCUAUAAAUAGAGAUUUAUUUUUUUCUAGCGUUGUGCAGGCAUCAAUUCUUGCAGGAAUCCUAAUAUCCAAACCAUCGAUUGUACUGUAACUUUUUAGGAUAAGGGGGUGUCACAGGUGGUAUUCCUGCAUUGUAUCACCAAGUUAUAGCCAGGGAAGUUCCUGCCUUUGUCUUCUGGAUAGUAAAGCUUUUAAUAAUGUAAUGAAAAUAAUAGGAUAAAGCACGGUUUGGAUUUCUAGUCACUCACGACUGCCCUCUAUCUUUCACCUACUGAAUAUGCCCUCAUCUGAUUCAUCUCUGCAUUCUCUCUCCUAGCAAUUUCCUUAUUCCCAAGUUUUUAAUUUCCUUUCACUUUUCACUGCAGAUUUUUAUUGUCUCCCUAAAAUUCUAAAUAUCUGUACUGACAGUCUGAUUGCUGUCUUUUGCUAACAUCACCUGCUUUAAAGAAAGGGGGAAAGAGAAAUGUUUCCAUUCUUUUUAUUGCCAAGUUGUCCACUUAUUUCCUCAGUUACUGUCUCUUCAAAGCUGCAGUUAUUGCUUUGUCUGAAAUGUAUUCAAAAGAGCAGUGUGUCUGUGAUCUCUCAACUAAAAAGUAUGAAGGUGUCAUUUUUCUCUCCUUAAACCCUAUUUUUUUCACUACUGAGUCAAGCCUCCUGUGUACACUUCUGGUUUCCAAGAUCACAUUUCAGUACUGAUGAGUCCAAGACACAGCUUUGCAAUGUAAUUUCAGAAUGGAUGAUAGGUGAGAGUAAUAUUGUGCCUGUCAGGAAAUGUGGCUCAUGCAAACUGUCAGCUGCAAACUGAGUUACCCUUUGUCUUUCAAACUCAGUUUCUGCCUUUCUUCCCUAAAUUCACAUAUAUACAUUCUACACGUUUACAUUUGUUUACUUGGGCCUUUCUUAUGUGUACUAAUGUGCAAAACAUGUAUCCUCUGCUCUAAGAAGCAGAAAAGGUGUGUGUGAAUCCAUGGUGUUGUAUCCAAAGUUCCCAGGCCUCUGAAGAGGUUUUCCAAUCACUGUUCACCUUAGAGUUUAAACAAAUAUGCAGGUAAUUCAGCUGCUCACAUGCUCUGGAUAGCAUCUAUCACUUCCUGACAGAGUUUGCCAUGAAGCUGUCCUUGGUGGCCAGGAGACCAAGUGUUCAGAGGAUAUGUGUAGCCCAUGCAACAGUAAAAGUUUGUGUUAAGCUCUAUUGCAUCCUAAGGUUCCUAUUGUCUGGGAUCUACUUUGCUGGGGAAUAGCUCUGUGGAAUGGGACCUGGGGGUCCUGGUGGACAGCAAGCUCAAUAAGGGUAAAGUGUGCUGCUACAGCAAAGAAAGACAGAAGGAUGCUGGGUUACAUCAACAAGGGCAUCACUAUUAUCCCACUCUACUCCUUGCUUGCGAGGCCACACCUGGAAUAUUGUGUUCAGUUUUGGUCUCCGCUAAGCAAAAAAGAUGUGCUCAGGCUGAAGAGGGUCCAGAGAAAGGCCACAAUCAAAGGACUAGGAAGCAGUAUGAGAAAAGGCUGAGAGAGCUGGGGUUGUUCACCCUUGGGAAAAGAAGGCUUGGGGGAGACCUUAUUGCCAUGUUCUGGUAUUUAAAGGGUGGCUACAAAGAAGAUAGAGACUCCCU